GUGGGAGUGGAAAUUGAGGGCCAGAGAUCACUGGUGACGUAGACCUCAUGUGACCACGAGUCGACGUGUGCAGAAGUCCUGCUAGUCUGGUCCUUGUUCCCGUUUGGGUACCAGCUUCCUUCAGCAGCGGUAGCCGGUGGGGCCAACGGUGGGGAAGGAGAAGGAGUCUACUGGCUGAAAUUUUUCAGAAGUAGUUGUUUUCAAAUAAGAAUAAGUAGAAGAAAAGAAAGGAAGAGG
rnacentral:lncRNA from 1 species